AGUUUGAUCCUGGCUCAGAUUGAACGUCAUGGGAUGUUUACACAAGUCGAACGCACGGACUUCUAUUCGAUGGGCGAGUGGCGAACGGGUGAGUAAUGUAAUGGAACGCGCCUAGCAGUUGUGAUACACCAUGCGAAAGGUAGCUUUAAUACUGCACAUUGCCUUCGGGGGAAAGCGGGGACCUUCGGGCCUCACCAAGAUUAGAGCGGCCGAUAUCGGAUUAGCUAGUUGCGGGCAACGGCUCACCAUGUCAUUAUCCGUAGCUGGUUUGAGAGGACGACCAGCGACACUGGGAUCUGGAGACACGCCUGACUCUACGGGCAGGCAGGGGGAAUUUUGGACAAUGGGGGUAAACCCUGAUCCGAGGCCAUCUGGUGGGUAAGUGAUGAAGGCUUCUAUGAAAAGCAUUUUUGGCAGGAAAGUGAAACGGUGCAUCGGGAUAAUACCCUGCGCAACUGACGGUACCUGCAGAAUAAGCAAUUCACAACUACGUGCCAGCAGCCGCGGUAAUACGUAGGGUGCAAGCGUUAAUCGGAAUUACUGGCGUAAAGGGCGGCAGCAGUGUCUGAAAAAGAAAGAUGUGAAAUCCUGUGAGCUCAGAAUUUUUGGAACUGCAUUUUUAAUUAUCGAGUCGAAAGGUGUCAGAGGGAGUGUGGACCGCGGUAGCAGUGAAAUGCGUAGAUAUGGAGGAACACCGAUGGCGAAGCAGCUCCGGAUAACACCGACGCUCAUGCACGAAAGCGUGGGGAGCAAACAGGAUUAGACAUCUGGUAGUCCACGUUCCUAAACGGCGUCUGGUUCAUUGUUGGGGUCCGGCUUUGUAGCGCAGCUAACGCGUGAAGGCGUUUUGACUCGCCUGUGAGCAUGGUCGCAAGAUUAAAGUCUCAAGCGAACUGAUUGGGACUUCCAGCACAAGCGUUGUGGGUGAUGUGAUUGUUCGAUGCAACGCGAAAAACCUUACCUACCCUUGAUAUGUCUGGAAUCCCGAAGAGAUUUGGAGUGCUCGCAAGAGAACCGGAACACAGGUGCUGCAUGGCUGUCGCUACCGUGUCGUGAGAUGUUGUUGUCCUGCAACGAGCUGGCAUCCUGACGUCGGUUGCUGAAAGGCACUGGACGAGACUGCCGGUGACAAACCGGAGGGAAGGUGGGGAUGACGUCAAGUCCAUGGCCCUUGCGGGUAGGGCUUCACACGUCAUACAAUGUACGGGACAGAGGGUCGCCGACCAAGCGAGGGGGCAGAGCCAAUCCCAGAAACCUGAUCGUAGUCCGAUCGCAGUCUGCAACUCGAUUCAUGCGCGAAGUCGGAAUCGCUAGUAAUCAGCGAUCAGCAUGUCGCGGUGAAUACGUUCCCGGGUCGUUGCAUGUUGCCCAGCCCGUCAUAAUCACAUGGAGUGGUUUACCAGAAGUAGUUAGCCUUAACCGUAAGGAGGGCGAUUAUCAUGGUGGUAUCCACAUCAGUGGUGCCCACCGGUAGCAGUAACCUCAACAUUACCUGAUGCU
rnacentral:rRNA from 1 species